AAAUAACAGUGCGAUUCAUUACUGAGCUCAUCAACCCAAGGAACUAUUGUUUCACGUGUCAUUCUUGAGGAUUCUUCAUUACAAGAUGGCCUUCACAUGAUAACAAGCCCAGAUGGAACUGAAUUGAUCUAACUUUUUAUUUUAUUUUAUUUUGUGUGUCCUAUAUUGAAUUCACCUGGGAGGAGGCCACUGGCUAUCAUGAGGAGGAAAAUUUAUGUAUCAUCUAUGAAGGUGCCCAUCUGAAUGACAGGGUGAUUUCUGCCCAAAGGGAGGCAAAAUUUUGAUUGGCAUGACAUGCAUUCUUCAGAAGUAGAGAGCAGGGAUGCUAUGAAGCAUGGAAUGAUGCAAAG
ensembl:lncRNA